rnacentral:rRNA from 1 species
UACGUAGGGGCCUAGCGUUGUCCGGAAUUAUUGGGCGUAAAGAGCUCGUAGGCGGUUGGGUAAGUCGGGUGUGAAAACUCCAGGCUCAACUUGGAGACGCCACCCGAUACUGCUCUGACUUGAGUUCGGUAGGGGAGUGGGGAAUUCCUGGUGUAGCGGUGAAAUGCGCAGAUAUCAGGAGGAACACCGGUGGCGAAGGCGCCACUCUGGGCCGAAACUGACGCUGAGGAGCGAAAGCGUGGGUAGCAAACAGG